rnacentral:rRNA from 2 species
GCGAUUAGUUGGACUGGAGACUUCGGUCAAAGAGAAGACUAUGAAAGCGGCGGACGGGUGAGUAACGCGUGAGCAACCUGCCCUGUACAGGGGGAUAGCCACUGGAAACGGUGAUUAAUACCCCAUAACCCCAAAGGAUCGCAUGGUCCAAUGGGCAAAGCCUUGGCGGUACAGGAUGGGCUCGCGUCUGAUUAGCUAGUUGGUGAGGUAACGGCUCACCAAGGCGACGAUCAGUAGCCGACCUGAGAGGGUGAACGGCCACACUGGAACUGAGACACGGUCCAGACUCCUACGGGAGGCAGCAGUGGGGAAUAUUGCACAAUGGGCGCAAGCCUGAUGCAGCAACGCCGCGUGAGUGAAGAAGGCCUUCGGGUCGUAAAACUC